rnacentral:piRNA from 1 species
UCCAAGAGUCCUUGAUGUAGGGAAA